rnacentral:tRNA from 1 species
GCCCAGGUGGCGAAAUGGUAGACGCGCUACCUUGAGGUGGUAGUGGAGAAAUCUGUGGAGGUUCAAGUCCUCUCCUGGGCACCA